rnacentral:rRNA from 1 species
CAGUCGCCGCGGUAAUACGAGGGGUGCAAGCGUUAAUCGGAAUUACUGGGCGUAAAGCGUGCGUAGGCGGUGAGUUAAGUCUGCUGUGAAAUCCCCGGGCCCAACCUGGGAAUGGCAGUGGAUACUGGCUCGCUAGAGUGUGUCAGAGGAUGGUGGAAUUCCCGGUGUAGCGGUGAAAUGCGUAGAGAUCGGGAGGAACAUCAGUGGCGAAGGCGGCCAUCUGGGACAACACUGACGCUGAGGCACGAAAGCGUGGGGAGCAAACAGGAUUAGAUACCCCCGUAGUCCCUGUCUCUUAUAC